UGGAAGAACACCAGUGGCGAAGGCGGCUGUCUAGUCUGUAACUGACGCUGAGGCUCGAAAGCAUGGGUAGCGAACAGGAUUAGAUACCCUGGUAGUCCAUGCCGUAAACGAUGAGUGCUAAGUGUUGGAGGGUUUCCCCCUUCAGUGCUGCAGCUAACGCAUUAAGCACUCCGCCUGGGGAGUACGACCGCAAGGUUGAAACUCAAAGGAAUUGACGGGGGCCCGCACAAGCGGUGGAGCAUGUGGUUUAAUUCGAAGCUACGCGAAGAACCUUACCAGGUCUUGACAUCUUCUGCCAAUCUUAGAGAUAAGACGUUCCCUUCGGGGACAGAAUGACAGGUGGUGCAUGGUUGUCGUCAGCUCGUGUCGUGAGAUGUUGGGUUAAGUCCCGCAACGAGCGCAACCCUUAUUAUCAGUUGCCAGCAUUCAGUUGGGCACUCUGGUGAGACUGCCGGUGACAAACCGGAGGAAGGUGGGGAUGACGUCAAAUCAUCAUGCCCCUUAUGACCUGGGCUACACACGUGCUACAAUGGACGGUACAACGAGUCGCGAAGUCGUGAGGCUAAGCUAAUCUCUUAAAGCCGUUCUCAGUUCGGAUUGUAGGCUGCAACUCGCCUACAUGAAGUUGGAAUCGCUAGUAAUCGCGGAUCAGCAUGCCGCGGUGAAUACGUUCCCGGGCCUUGUACACACCGCCCGUCACACCAUGAGAGUUUGUAACACCCAAAGCCGGUGAGAUAACCUUCGGGAGUCAGCCGUCUAAGGUGGGACAGAUGAUUAGGGUGAAGUCGUAACAAGGUAACCAAGGGCGAAUCG
rnacentral:rRNA from 1 species